rnacentral:rRNA from 1 species
GUCUGACGGAGCACGCCGCGUGAGUGAUGAAGGUUUUCGGAUCGUAAAGCUCUGUUGUUAGGGAAGAACAAGUACCGUUCGAAUAGGGCGGUACCUUGACGGUACCUAACCAGAAAGCCACGGCUAACUACGUGCCAGCAGCCGCGGUAAUACGUAGGUGGCAAGCGUUGUCCGGAAUUAUUGGGCGUAAAGGGCUCGCAGGCGGUUUCUUAAGUCUGAUGUGAAAGCCCCCGGCUCAACCGGGGAGGGUCAUUGGAAACUGGGGAACUUGAGUGCAGAAGAGGAGAGUGGAAUUCCACGUGUAGCGGUGAAAUGCGUAGAGAUGUGGAGGAACACCAGUGGCGAAGGCGACUCUCUGGUCUGUAACUGACGCUGAGGAGCGAAAGCGUGGGGAGCGAACAGGAUUAGAUACCCUGGUAGUCCACGCCGUAAACGAUGAGUGCUAAGUGUUAGGGGGUUUCCGCCCCUUAGUGCUGCAGCUAACGCAUUAAGCACUCCGCCUGGGGAGUACGGUCGCAAGACUGAAACUCAAAGGAAUUGACGGGGGCCCGCACAAGCGGUGGAGCAUGUGGUUUAAUUCGAAGCAACGCGAAGAACCUUACCAGGUCUUGACAUCCUCUGACAAUCCUAGAGAUAGGACGUCCCCUUCGGGGGCAGAGUGACAGGUGGUGCAUGGUUGUCGUCAGCUCGUGUCGUGAGAUGUUGGGUUAAGUCCCGCAACGAGCGCAACCCUUGAUCUUAGUUGCCAGCAUUCAGUUGGGCACUCUAAGGUGACUGCCGGUGACAAACCGGAGGAAGGUGGGGAUGACGUCAAAUCAUCAUGCCCCUUAUGACCUGGGCUACACACGUGCUACAAUGGACAGAACAAAGGGCAGCGAAACCG